rnacentral:rRNA from 1 species
ACGGCUGAGUAACGCGUGGGUGACCUGUCCUCGAGUGGGGAAUAACUGCCCGAAAGGGUGGCUAAAGCCGCAUGAGCUCCCUUCUGCAAGGGGGGGAGGGAAAACCUCGUGAGAGGUGCUGGAGGAGGGGCCCGCGUCCGAUUAGCUAGUUGGAGGGGUAACGGCCCACCAAGGCGACGAUCGGUAGCUGGUCUCAGAGGAUGAUCAGCCAGACUGGGACUGAGAGACGGCCCAG